UUACGGUCACAUCACGUCGAAAGACCGGUUCUCGUACGAUCUCUGAAGUUAAGCAACGUCGAACCUGGUCAGUACCUAUAUGGGUAAUCGUUUAGAAAUACCGGGUGCUCC